UACGUAGGGUGCAAGCGUUGUCCGGAAUUAUUGGGCGUAAAGAGCUCGUAGGCGGUUUGUCGCGUCUGCUGUGAAAACUCAGGGCUUAACCCUGAGCUUGCAGUGGGUACGGGCAGACUAGAGUGCGGUAGGGGAGACUGGAAUUCCUGGUGUAGCGGUGAAAUGCGCAGAUAUCAGGAGGAACACCGGUGGCGAAGGCGGGUCGCUGGGCCGUAACUGACGCUGAGGAGCGAAAGCAUGGGGAGCGAACAGG
rnacentral:rRNA from 1 species